GAUCACUUUGUCUACAGCACACACAUAUUUUGCUGUAACCUCUUGCUGGUGGAGAGCAUGAAGGAUCCUCUGUGUUUCAAAGUGUCAGACCAGACCAUCCCCAAACAGCUGCACAUAGUCCAGGCCAAGAACCAGGAAGAGAAGCGUUUGUGGCUGCACUACCUCAAGAGGCUGAUCGUGGAGAACCAUCCUG